ensembl:snoRNA SNORA73 Small nucleolar RNA SNORA73 family
CCAACGUGGAUACUCCCGGGAGGUCACUCUCCCCGGGCUCUGUCCAGGUGGCAUGGAGGAGCACAGGGCUCAGUGCCCCGUGAUGUACAGUCCUUUCCCACAACGUUGGAGAUCAAGCCGGGCCUGGAGCCUGCGCCUGCAUAUUCCUACAGCUUCUCAGAGUCCUGUGGACAAUGACUGAGGAGACAAACCAUGCAGGAAACAUGU